rnacentral:lncRNA from 1 species
CCUGUUCCUACAGCUUACUGCUCCGCAAAAAGUUAAGUUUCCUCCCGCGAAGACUAAGUGUGGAUGUGCUAAAAGAGGUGUCCCUACGUGACCUUCUCUCCGGAGAGAGGUCGUGGAGCAGCAGAGCAGACGCUGUACUCGCCCGGACACUUGCCAUAACCCAGCAGAGUUCAGGUUUCGCUUUGACAUCUUCAUACCGCUAUUCAGUUUAUGAUCAGUGUUUCUUACAAACUCAGAGUAUUACCUUAUCAGAGCCUUCGAACCGUAUCAGAUUAGUAGUUACUGCUCAUUAGCUUCCCAGGUGACCCAGACCAGUCCCAGGAAAUGUAACAUCUGUGCCUAGUAUUAUACUUGGUAUACGGAGUUAUCAUUAAUAUUUAAGACUUUCCGUCCGGGACUGUAAGCUGCAAGGGGAGGGACACUUACAUCACCUAACUGUAAGCAAUUUAAAGCAGAGUCCUUGUGGGAAUGAAGUUGGGAAUGAAUAACAUGAGGAUAAAUUACUGAGAGGCUAAUGAGCAGUAACUACCAAUCUGAUAGGGUUCGAAUGCUCUGAUACGGUUCGAAUGCUCUGAUAAGGUAAUACACUAAAUUUGUAAGAAACACUGAACAUAAACUGAAUAGCGGUAUUAAGAUGUCAAAGCGAAGCCUAAGGUGAACCUGAACUCUGCUGGGUUAUUGCAGGUGUCCGAGCUAGUACAGCGUCUGCUCUGCUGCACCACGACUGUGCUAAGUCUCACCGAGAUGUUUGUGCCAAAUCUACUAGAAUUGUACAAGCAAAUGACCUUGUCAGGAUGAGAGUGAGGUCAUUUCGCUUACCUGUGCCAAGCAUAUAAAGCAGCAUUAUGAGUUCGAAGAAGGAAAAACAGUUUGCAACUCAGGUGUACCCUGGGCAAGAAAGGAGGUGGUGGGAAGUGAGACUGGUGAUACCAUUGCAGGAAAAAUUGGCAAGCACUGACAUAUACACAUACACACACACAAACACAAACUCACACACAUACUUUUAUUUUCCGGGUAAAAUUGAUAAACAUCAAGGAUGUAGAAUUACAUCCACAUCCAUACCGAAAAACAAGGGAAAGAUUGUUAGGGGCCAGACUGUAUGGGCAAUAACCAAACAGAUUCCAUUUUACCGUGAGACUCCAUGUCAUGUAAGAAAUGCUUCUCCCAUGGGAAAGCCCCACUUCUGCUCCCAUUAAUAGUUACCUAGCAUAACAUACUUGGCAACACAAAAUAUCAAUUCUUAUAAAACGUAAAAUUGUUCUCUUUGGUUUCCAUUUUUCAUGGGUGAUAUAGCUUGUCAGAGAUUGAUUGUCUAGAUGUUAGUAACCAUUCUCUAACUUGUACUCAACUAUGGUCAUUUUGACCCAUUUCCCUUCUGCUUGUUUGCUACUGUGCCAACCUGGAAAGUCCUGUGGGAAAUACCAGUGUACCCAUCGCAUUGUCUCGUUAACUGCCCAAUUCAGCUUCUGUACCUGCUUGCUUACAGCUACAUCAAUCCUGAUGUAGUUUUUGUCUUUGAAUAUCCUAAAAUGCUCAGGCUUGGGGCUGUUCCUUGCAGAGACAGUUAUGGGUCGGUCCUGCAGGGAGCAAUCACCAGCUUGCUGGCUAAAUAAAGUGUCUUCAAUUUGGACAAAACUGGGACUUGGUGUGUUUUCUGAGUGACCUGCCCCACAACAAGAUGACAGUGAUCUUAGACCAUUUUAAUUACAAAUUCAUUAAUUAAACCAAUGACAUAAAAUAGUGUUGUGCAAUAGCAAAAAAAAAAAAAGCCGAGUACAAAAACAUAGACACAAAUUGGUGUUUAUAAAGGCCAGAGACUGAUAUUCCUAGAAAGCAAAGAAACAGAUAAACAUUCCUCUUAAGCAAAAAGUUUAUUCAGUCAAGACAGUUGUAAAAACAAGUACUUCAGGAAUAAAGACAUUAAUGGUAAGAUCAGAAAGCACAUUGAGAUUUUAAUCCAUUCAAAUAUAAGAAAUCAAUUGUGGGAUUAUGGUUAUGGAAGAAAAAGUAAAUGCUAUCAGAAUAAUAUCAUUUAUUAUUUAAAAUAUAUAUGGGAAUUGCCAAAAUUGGAUCAUAUACUUGCAAAGCAUUAAUUCAUGUUUCUCAAUAUUUUCCAUAAUCUGUUUUCUUUGUUUUAGAAGGAUCUUUUUAAAAUCAAGAAGAAAUACUAAUCUGAUGAUUUCUAAUUCCAUUCCCGGCUUCCCUUCAGUUACUUUGUUUUUUAUAAACUCAAGUAAAUAACCCAGAAAAAGAAGAAAAUCCUUGACUAUUAUGUUGAUAAUAUUGUCCUAUUUUCUUUGUAUUUUCUGCUUAUUAGGAGAAUCUUUUCAUGUUUUUUAUUGGCCCUUGUAUUUAUCUGUGAAGUUCCUGUUUAUGUCUUUUGUUCAUUAUAUAGUAUAUGAAUCAGUUCUCUUUUUUAUUUGAUAAAAUUCAAAAUUUAUUCAUGAUAAAACAUCUGUCUACAUUAAGAGUAUAGAAUUACCUUACUCUAGUAAGGACUACAAAAUCUUACAACAAACAUCAGAAUUUUGGAAAAAUGUCCCCUUAAUAUUAGGAAUAAAACAGAUGACUGUAACUACUUCUUUCAAAAUUAUAUUUUGAAGACAUUGUUAGAAUAAUAAGAACAAGAAAUAAAAUAGGUAAUAACUGAAAAAAUUAAAAACACUUUAUUUUUACAUAUAGAAUACAUAAAUAAAUUAUAAAAAUUACCAGAGAAUUUAGCAACCCUUUUUGAGAAAAAAAAUACCAACAAAUCAGUUCCAUUUAUAUAAUGAGUAUCAUAAUAAAGCAAUUAUAACAAAACUAAAAACAUAUAUCUGGAAUAAAAAAAUAAAAGUGAUGUUUGUUUUUUUAUAGCUAAAUAAUAAAAUACUUAGACUAUAUUGAAAAACAACCAAAUAAUGAAUAUAUUUAUCAUGUUUAGUGAUUAAAGAUCUAGUAUUAUAAUAACACAUUCAAGCAAUUCUAAUAAACUUUAUAGUAGAUUGGUGUGUGUGUAGGUUUUUAUUGAUUUUUUAAAAUAAAUGUCAGCAGAAUGCAUUACAAUUCAUAUUACAUAUAAAGAACACAAUUUUUAAUACCUCUGGUUGUAUAUAAAGUAUGUUCACACCAAUUACUGUCUUCAUAUGUGUACUUUGGAUAAUGAUGUCCAUCACAUUCCACCAUCAUUGCUAACCCCUUACCCCCUCAUUCCCUCCCUUCCCUCUGCCCUAUCUAAUUUGUCUAUUCCUUCCAUACUCCCCUUCCCUACCCACUAUGAGUCAGUCACCUUAUAUCAGAGGACACAUUCAGCAUUUGUUAUUUUGGGAUUGGCUAACUUCGCUUAGCAUUAUCUUCUCCAACUCCCUCCAUUUACCUGUAAAUGUCAUGAUUUUAUUAUCUUUUAUUGCUGAGUAAUAUUAUAUUGUGUACAUAUGCCACUUUUUUUAUUCAGUCAUCUACUGAAGGAUAUCUAGUUUGGUCCCACAGUUUAGCUAUUGUGAAUUGUGCUGCUAUAAACAUUGAUUUGGCUGUGUCCCUGCAGUAUACUGUUUUUAAGUCCUUUGGAUAUAGACCGAGGGGAGGGAUAGCUGGUUCAAAUGGUGGUUCCAUUCCCAGUUUUCCAAGGACUCUCCAUACUGCUUUCCAUAUUGGGUACACCAACUUGCAGUCCCACCAGCAAUAUAUGAGUGUACCUUUUUCCCCACAUCCUUGCCUACACUUAUUGUUGUUUAUCUUCAUAAUAGCUACCAUUCUGACAGGAGUGAGAUGACAUCUUAAGAGUAGUUUUGAUUUACAUUUCUCCAAUUGCUAGAGAUGAUGAACAUUUUUUCGUACAUUUAUUGAUUGAUUGUAUAUCCUCUUCUGAGAAGUGUCUGUUAGGUCCUUGGCCCUUUUAUUCAUUGGGUUAUUUGUGGGUUUUUUGGACUUUAGCUUUUUGAGUUCUUUAUAUACUCUAGAGAAUAGUGCUCUAUCUGAUGUGUGAGGGGUAAAACUUUUCUCCCAAGAUGUAGGCUCUCUAUUUAUCUCACAGUAUCUUUUGCUGAGAAGAAACUUUUUAGUUUGAAUCCUUCCCAUUUAUUAAUUCUUGCUUUUAAUUCUUGCGCUAUAGGAGUCUUAUUAAGGAAAUUGGGGCCUACUCCGACAUGAUGAAGAUCAGGGCCUACUUUUUCUUCUAUUAGACACAGAAUCUCUGGUUUGAUUCCUAUGUCCUUGAUCUCCUUUGAAUUGAGUUUUGUGCAUGGUGAGAGAUAAGGGUUUAAUCUCAUUUUGUUGCAUAUGGAUUUCCAGUUUUCCCAGCACCAUUUGUUGAAGAGGCUAUCUUUUCUCCAAUGCAUUUUUUUUGCCACCUUUGUCUAAUAUAAGAGAAUUGUAAUUUUGUGGGUUAGUCUCUGCAUCCUCUAUUCUGUACCAUUGGUCUACCAGCCAGUCUGUUUUGGUGUCAAUACCAUGCUGUUUUUGUUACUAUUGCUGUAUAGUAUAGUUUAAGGUCUAGUAUAGUGAUGCUACCUGCUUCACUCUUCUUGCUAAGGAUUGCUUUAGCUAUUCUGAGUCUCUUAUUUUUCCAGAUGAAUUUCAUGAUUGCUUUUUCUAUUUCUAUAAAGAAUCUCAUUGGGAUUUUGAUUGGAUUGCAUUAAAUCAGUAUAGUGCUUUUGAAAGUAUGAUCAUUUUGAUAAUAUUAAUUCUGCCUAUCCAAGAGCAAGGUAUAUCUUUCCAUUUUCUAAGGUCUUCUUUGAUUUUUUUCUUUACAGUUCUGUAGUUUUCAUUGUAUAGAUCUUUCACCUCUUUUGUUAAGUUGAUUCCCAAGUAUUUUUUUUUUGAGGCUAUUGUAAAUGGGGUAGUUUUCCUCAUUUCCCUUUUGGAGGAUUUGUCACUGAUAUACAGAAAUGCCUUUGAUUUAUGGGUGUUGAUUUUGUAUCCUGCUACUUUGUUGAAUUUAUUUACUAGUUCUAGAAGUUUUCCGGUGGAGCUCUUUGGGUCUUCUACAUAUAGAAUCAUGUCAUCAGCAGAUAGUGCUAAUUUAAGUUCUUCUUUUCCUAUGUGUAUCUCUUUAAUUUCUUUCAUCUCUCUAAUUGCUCUGGCCAGUGUUUCAAGAACUAUGUUAAAUAGAAGUGGUGAAAGAAGGCAUACCAGUCUUGUUCCAGUUUUUAGAGGAAAUGCCUUCAAUUUUUCUCCAUUUAAAAUGAUAUUGGCCUGGGGAUUAGUUUAGAUAGCCUUUACAAUGUUGAGAUAUGUUCCUAUUAUCUCUAGUUUUUCUAGUGUUUUGAACAUGAAGGGCUGCUGUAUUUUGUCAAAUGUUUUUACUGCCUAUAUUGAGAUGUGGAUUAGUUCUUUUAAAUAAAUAAAUCACUAAAUCAAUAUCCCUUAUUAUAAUUUGUGAGCAUGUAAAAAAGACUGAUACCAGAAAAUUCCCAUCUUAUUCCAAAGGUUUUGGUUUCAUUUUAAUUAUAAAUUCAUUAAUUAAACCCGUGGACGAUAGAAGAGAAUACAAUAAACUAUUUUAUAAAUAAUAAAACAACUUUAGAAGCAGUAGUUGUAUUACACUUCAGUAAUAAUUUAUGAUAAACAUGUAGUUGAGGCCAACAUUCACUCUAUUAUUUUUUACCAGAAGGAAUAUCAUUUGCUUUUAGAAAGAUUAAAUUUGUAAAAAAAAAAAAAAACAAAAAAAAACCCUUCCAUUUUAUUUUCACAUUUAAAAAAAGACUAAAUUCUUUGAGACUAGAAAUAUAAGAGCAUUUCAGACUUUUAUAAAAGGCUCAUUAAAAGAUCAGGAAGAUCUUUCCUGAAAAAUGAUUUUCCCCAGAAAUGCCUGGCAAAAUCAAAAUUCGUUGUUGGAUUUUUCUAUAAAAUUUUUAACAGAUAGGUAACAGUUUGGGGGAUUGAUAUUUUUUCCUACCCAAUUAAAAUAGCACAAUUACUUUCUUGCCAUGAUUAAUUCUAAUUUUUCAUGCUACAGCUCAACCUCCAAUUGAACUGAGCUUAAAAUGAGAAUAUUUUUUAUAACCUGAUUUCUAAAAUCCAACUUAUCUGCUGAGUUCACACAUUUUCAAAAUCUAAAUAUUUUAUAUUAUCUUAGCAUAAAUAUUAACCAGAUCCUGUUUUCAUUUCCAUCCAAAUAUUUCCUGCCAUCAUUUUCACCUCCUAAAUAGUAUCUAAUCUUACACCUAUUGUCAUAAACUCUUCAUGAAAUGCUACUUAGCACCAGUAAUUUUAAGCAGGCUGAGGACUAUAAUCAUAUAUGUUUAAAAAUAUAGAAUGUAGGUUUUUAAGUCUCAGAUUAUAAAUAUCCUUUACUUUUAAGUGUAGCAGAAUUUAUAAUCAGUGAAAACAUCUCGGAGGAAUUUUGGGCUAUGUGGUGUGAAUUCUAGGUACUGUACUAAUGUCUUUAAAUUAUUUGGGGUGGUAUUUAAAUUUUUUCUUUGAAAAACAGAAGAUCCACUAGUUAUUUUUUGAAAUACAAGUGCAACAUACAUACAUCUAGAUUUAUGUAUCUUAUUUGUGCAUCUUAUUUUUAUUACCCAGAAUUUCAAGCAUCUUUUUAUACAAAUUACUUUUAAAAAUAAAAUAUAACAUGGUACCAAUAAACAGCCCUUCAUAGUGCCUUGUACUUUGUGGGUGUACAAAAUAUUGUUGAGUCAGUUUUGUAAUUGAAUUAGGCUAUUUAAAAACACCAUGUAUUUCUUGUAUAAUUUUAUUGCUUGGUCUCUUACAAAAGCAAACCCCAGCAUAAAAGCUCUAGUCUUAGUUUAGUCAAGAAAAUUUAGAUAAAAAGAAGCACUCCCCCUUGUGGUUAGUUUUUUCAAUUGCAAAUCCUUCACCUCACAAAGAAAGGAGGUAGCUAUAAAAUAGCUUUUUCAUCAUUGAUCAUUUUCUAAAAUUAAUAUGCAAUAUUAUCAUUUCAGAUGGAAGAGGAAAGCUGGCUCCAAAAAUUUUGUUUCUGCAGAAUCUAAGAUAUUCACAUCAAAAUAUGCAAGACAUUCAGAGUAGGAGAGAAAUACACCACUCAGAAGUUGUUAGCCAAUGAAAACUAAAGCUGUUUUAAAGAUCAUGCUGUAGGAUCUAGAAAGCUCCUAACACUGACUUUCUAGAGCUUUAAGAAGGAGAUUUAAGGAAAGCAAAACCUGAUAGUCUCACCAAAUGGGUUGGUCAAGCAUAAAUCUUCAUAGAAAGAGAAGAUCUACCCAACUCAGAAAUAAAUAACAGAAGAUCUGCAGCAGUUGCAGGUGAGGGAAGAGGCUGAGCCCAGACCCUUGGGAGAUAGCUCAGAAGAAGUCCUAGACUUAAAGAUGAUCAAUAAGGAAGCUAAAUGCACCUUUCACACAACUUUCAGUCGUCAAUAGAAACAGCUGAUACCUGAAUACAAGGCAAGAACACAAUCUGGAUACCUCUCCUUAAAACUAGCAAAACCUGCAGAGAUUCAAAUACCAUAGGAGACUGAGGAAGAUCUGAAUCCCCAGGUUUCUCUCAGGAUACAAUGUAGAUACUCCUGGCAUUUUAACAUUUUAUGGCCUGUUGUAAUAUAUAGACACUGUAUGUCCCCCCACCGACCUUCAUCUAUUGUAGAAAUGCAAACUACCAAACUGAUGACAUUUAAAGGUAGGCAUUUGGGAGGUAAUUAAGUCAUGAGGGUGGAUUGUUAGUGCCCUUGUAAAUGAGAACCUGAGAGCUACCUCAGUCUUUCUGCAAUACGAUGAUACAGCAAGAAGUUGUUAGUGUGUAACAUGAAAGAAGCCCCUCAACAGAACCCAGCCAUGCUGCCAGUCUGAUCUCAGAAUUCUAACCUCUAGAACUAAAUAAAUUUUUGUUAUUUAUAAGCCAACCAUUCUAUAAUUUAGUCAACUUUCCCUAUGAUUGUAUCCCCACCUGUGGAUUCUACCAACUGCUGAUUGAAAAUAUUUGGACAAAAAAUGGCUU